GCCAGCCCCAGUUGUCAGAACUUCCUCCCUCCUCAAGUCGUGAUGCCUGCCUGGUUUCUUGGAUACCCUUUCUCCUCCGCUGCCCAUCUCUGAGCACUUGGUUCCUCGCCCCCCUUCUGUUCCUCACCCCGUUUCUCAUUCCCUCGCUGCGCCCAUCGAUUCCCCCUGGAUUCCAUCAUCUCCUUCCCCAAAUCAUCGCUGCCGUACCUUCCCCUUCCAGUAACCUCCAUGGAUCCGGGAUGCGCCGGCCAUUGUUUGCCGCGAUUAGAGGAACCCGUUUUCCGUUGUUUCUGUGGUGAGCCUGCUCUGUCCGUAACCUCAGGAACUUCUCGGAAUCCCGGGCGCAAGUUCCGGAUUCGGGAGGUCAUGCAAGCUUUGGAUCUGGGAGGAUGUACUCUUGCGAUAUGUGGAUAAAAUGGUUCAGUAUUGCACCGCUUCAACGCAUGGUCCUUUAUCUGGACAACAUGGAUUUUGGACCUUUGAACCAUAUACACUUGCCAAUGCCCCAUGUUUGUUGUUAUGAGGAUAGAUUACUAAGACAACUUAUUGAAGCUGAUAAAUGGCCUUGGAAUUUCUUUGGUCAAUCGAAGCCAAGAAAUGCUAGAUCAGUUUGCUACUCCAGGGGAGUUAGAAUGAAGGCACCCACCAACCAAACCAAUGCAGAUGAGGGUUGCUCUGAUUCCAGAAAGGAUCAGUUGAGUUUGGAGAUCAAGAACAGAGGCCUACACGGUGUGGCUUGAGAUGGAAGGUUACAUCACGGCGGAGGAAAAUAGCUCACCAUGUACCAAUUUCUUCGCACCCACCUUCCGAAGGUAUUUUUAUUGGCCAUGGUGAAUCCCCUGGACUUGCAGAAUAUGAACAAAGCAGCAAUGUCGCAUGCGCUGUUGUAGUCCACGAAGAUCUUUUCGGAACCAUUUUAGAAAACAAUAUGACACAUCCAGAUACCACUGACAUGGAAGCAGUAACAACGCCCCAACGUACUGUUUGGAAUACCAACAUCUUCGAUUACGGGAGUGAUGGUUAGUCUGCUACCGGACCCACUGUUUUGACUGUAGCCUUGCCUCCCACUGCAUCUUUCUGCAGCAAUUGUACCUUUCCAAUAAAAUCUAUUAAACAACAUAUGUUUCUCCAAUUGUCAAAAAUUCAUGCAUCUUAUCAUUGCUUUUUCACUUUGAGGGUUUUGUCUCUUAAUUAUGACAAACUGUUGACGCCUUUUACGGGCCAACACACGAUCGCACUAGGUCACGCGGCGCGAGGAGCUCCUUGCAGCACCUCCUGCGUGGAGCGGUCAGACCGGUCAGAGGAACCGGUCAGACCGGUCGCCGUGCAGAACGGCGAUGAUCCGACGAACGCUCACCCGGAAGGGACUCCGUCGGGGUAAGCGCGCGUAGAGUUGCCCUAGGCUCGGCAGGCCAGCUAGGGCGUCCUCAAACGCCAUGGAGACGAGAGAAGAACAGCAUGUCGAGAUUGGAAAAGUUAGGGUAAAGGGAAAAGGUAAAGACAAUGAAAGAUAAAUAUAUUUGAUAGAUUCGAUUGGGUUGUAUCCUCAAUCGGCCGUGACCCUUUAUAUUUAUAGGGUGGGGAAGACUUACCCGGCAAGAAAUCCUGUUUACAGAUCUAAAUCUAUUAAGAACUCUAAUUACAGUUAGAUUCCUCCUAGACCGGUCAGACCGGUCGGACCCACCGGUCAGAUCGGUCGGUCCCCUGCCGGACUGGCCACACUGCCUCGACCGGUCAGACCGUUCGGUCAGACCGGUCAGACCGGUUGGUGCCAAUUUUGACUGUCAACAUAUGCCCCUCUGUUUUUUGGUUGGUAAAGCUUGCUUGUCAAAAAAUAUUCUUCGAAGCCAAAAUUGUCUAAGGGCGACGAUUAACAACACAUCGGCCAUAUAUUAUCUCUAAACAUGUUAAAAUAGCUGAAAUAAGAGAACUAGCAAAUGUAACACUUUCUAGUUUAGGAUCAUCAAACUAUUUCGGCUAUAUAUUCCUUAGCAUGUUCAAUAAUAUAAAUCUUGACACGGCCAAUGUGGCUGAUUAUUCAAAUCAUGGCCCCUUGGUAAAGCAUAAAACUAAUAUUUAUAAUAUGGCAGCCAAGGAUUAUGACCAAACCAUGGAUUAAACACACCUGAAUAUGCAGUCCAUGGUGCAUGCAUCGACGGAAUAAAUGAUGAAGUCCAAUAAGAUGAUCGAUGGUGCUUUUUUGAUCUUGGUGGUGAAGAACUCCUUCGUUUGCCUUCCAACUGAUUGCUUUGUUUUUGCUCGGACAUCUUUUUGUAUUUAUCUAGAAGCUCCUCAAAGGUCGGCUUGGUCCUAUUUUUUGCACCGCCAGACUUCCCAGGUUCAGACCAGUCAGACCGGUCUGACAAACCGGUCAGAACGGUCCUGUCAUAACCGAUAUGAUUGCUCUUAUCUUGCCCCUCGGCCAAACUUGAACAUUGUUCGACUAUACUGUUUGAAUCACGAUAUCGUUGGGGACAAUUUUACUAAUUGAACUAUCUGAUUGCUCUUCAACAAUCGGCUUUUCUUUAUCUAGUGUCGAAUCUGAAUUUUUGUUUAAUCGUUCAUUUUUUUGACACGAUAAACUUGCUUGAUCACCUUGUAUUUCUUUUUCUGUAUAGACCGAUCUUUUUCAUCAAAACGGUCAUUAAUGGUAGGUGAUGGUUUACCAAUUGCCGGCUCCCUAUAAGUAAUAUAAUCUGGAAACAAAUAUCUAGGAAGAGACGGCAUACAUGAAUUAUAAUACCAUGAUGGAUAAAAACAAGACAUACUGUAAUAGGAUCCGCAUGGCAUAGGUAUAGGUGAUCUAUGUGGUGGAAACGGCAUUGAAUUAGGAAAAUUAUUCCGUUGUCGAUUCCGAUCAUGGAAUUGCUGUCUUGGAGUAGAUCUUGAGUGUUUUGGAUGUCUUGACCGACCAGCAUCAUUACUUUGUUUAUUGGAUUUAGCCGGAAGAUCUCCAAGAAAGGGCUUCGGCUUUUCCUUUUGAUGCUUGUGAUGGCCUUUGGAUUCAACAGUUUUCCAAACACCAAUCUUGGAUUUUUUGGGCUUUACCAUCUUAGGUUUUGAUUUAUUCUGCAAAAUCCUAGAUGAGCCGGUUAGACCGGUCUUAGAACCGGUCAGACCGGUUGCAGUGCAACCAGCAUCUUUGCCUUUGUUUUGUUGCCCCCCCCCCCCCGAGCAUUGAAGUACUAGAUGUAGUCUCUGUGCUCUUGCCAGGGAAUUUUGGGUCAACAAAUUCGGCUUGGGAUGGCCGAAUUGUAUCUUGACAAGCAACAUCACAAGUUGGCAAAUCUUUGCAAGGAUUAUUAGUCGGCUUUUCAAUAACCGAUUUUUGAAUAAUAGGAACUGGAAUUGAACUAUUUUCUUGAUCAAUCAAAUACUAAACAAAAUCAGAUAGAGCAUCGGAUAACGUAUCUGAAGAUUGUACCUCUUUUAAUAGAUCAAUCAUGGAUGGUGGCUUCCACUCCUUUAUCUUGACGACGCCUUGUUUUGUUUUACGAUAACAGGAUAGAAGCAACCUUUCAUCCGCUUGAUCGCACUCUCGCCGAUACUCUUGAAGUAGUUCCUCAUGUGACGAUAUAUUGUUAGGGUUUGACGGAUCAGCCAUCCUAGCCUGAUUCUCGUCCCCAGUGGACUCGCCCAUUUGUGUUGACUCUUUUUACGGGCCAACACACGAUCGCGCUAGGUCACGCGGCGCGAGGAGGAGCUCCUUGCAGCACCUCCUGCGUGGAGCGGUCAGACCGGUCAGAGGAACCGAUCAGACCGGUCGCCGUGCAGAACGGCGAUGAUCCGACGAACGCUCACCCGGGAGGGACCCCGUCAGGGCAAGCGCGCGUAGGGUUGCCCUAGGCUCGGCAGGCCAGCUAGGGCGUCCUCAAACGCCAUGGAGACGAGAGAAGAACAGCAUGUCGAGAUUGGAAAAGUUAGGGUAAAGGGAAAAGGUAAAGACAAUGAAAGAUAAAUAUAUUUGAUAGAUUCGAUUGGGUUGUAUACUUGUAUCCUCAAUCGGCCGUGACCCUUUAUAUUUAUAGGGUGGGGAAGACUUACCCCGCAAUAAAUCAUGUUUACAGAUCCAAAUCUAUUAAGAACUCUAAUUACAGUCGGAUUCCUCCUAGACCGGUCAGACCGGUCGGUCCCUUGCCGGACUGGCCACAGUGCCUCGACCGGUCAGACCGUUCGGUCAGACCGGUCAGACCGUUCGGUCAGACCGGUCAGACCGGUUGGUGCCAAUUUUGGCUGUCAACACAGACACAACUCCCCUAAUUGCCGAUACAAGUUCCUUGCCAAUGAUUGACUGGCAGCCUUUCACCUCCCAAGAUAGCACUGAAACAUUGGAACCAGGUCCACUCUACCUUGGUUACGAUACUGUACAGCAACAAGGAAAUGGAAUACGAGAUUUGGGUAUGGACUUGUCACUAAUGGAAACUGGCUGCAGUAAUGGUGAAUACCAAGACCAUCACCAACCUGAAUCGCCAGAAUACACCCUGCAACACUCUAUAUCUGAAAAGUUCACCAUUCGACGACUUUUUGCAUGCCUUGGUAUUUCGGCUGAUAGAGAUUCUAGCAACAACACACCUGAACACACAAUGGUUGUUCAACCAAUGACCAAUGGUGAAGCAGCAGGUGGAACCGAACCAACGAUGAUGGUAGACAACUAUGCUGACGGUGCUGUGUGGUCCUGUCCCUCACCUACAAAAGUUGUUGAAAUUGGGUCUGAGGACACUGAUCUCGCUAGUCAUGAACACCACUAUGAUAGUGAUAUAAGUAAUACCAAUAUGGAGCCUGAUAUUGAAAUAAUAGAAUAGGCACCAAUUAAAGUUGUUCAAAGCCACUCAAAUUUCGACCUGCAUCCAGAUGAUUUGGGGUUGUACCAUUAUAUCCCUCCACCUAAGAAGGCCAAAGAACUUUAUGAAGCUUAUGAAAAUGGAAUUGUUAGCUUGAGCAGGUAUUCUUUUGAAACUACGGACUACAUGUUUAUAGCUAUCUGUUAAGUGGAACAACUCUGGGUUGUUUGCUACACACUACGCUCGUGCUUUCGAUGGCACCAACUACUUUGGGACCUAAAGACAUUUGAACAUGGUUUAAAUCGUGCGGAGCUAUUGUACCACCUUCUGAGUAUGGCAGGGAAUUACGGAGAUGUGCCAGAGUUGCUGAUCGACCUCCUGGAGAUUUGAAGACCAUGUUUCUGUGUUGUGACAACUACACAACAGACCAUGCCCAAUGUCGUUGUGGUUAUUUUGAUUUUGGUGGAGAGCAAGUGCUACUCCUUUUCUAUGUCCUUUUCUGCACUCUAGAAUUUAUGUUCAGUUUAACUGCUGUAAUGAACACUUUCUUUGUGCCAGCUAGGAUGCUUCAAACAAUGAACUCAACUCCAUUUACAUUUUCCAGCAAUUUGGCAACCA